rnacentral:rRNA from 1 species
UACGUAGGGUGCAAGCGUUGUCCGGAAUUAUUGGGCGUAAAGAGCUCGUAGGCGGUUUGUCGCGUCGGCUGUGAAAACUCGGGGCUCAACCCCGAGCCUGCAGUCGAUACGGGCAAACUUGAGUGUGGUAGGGGAGACUGGAAUUCCUGGUGUAGCGGUGAGAUGCGCAGAUAUCAGGAGGAACACCGGCGGCGAAGGCGGGUCUCUGGGCCAUAACUGACGCUGAUGCACGAAAGCGUGGGGAGCGAACCGG